GAUAUACACCAUGACAAAAACCUCUUCACCAAACACACUCACUUCUGCUUUCAGAUGUUCUGAAUAUAGACACUAACUGAAUGUCAAGUCAUCCUGAACCAGUGUGUCUGCAGUAGGAGAACAUUCCAUGCUUGUGUUUUACACAAAACCCUUCACACAUUUACUAGAAUGUUGUCAUUAACAAUUACACCUAGUUGUCCCAAAGCAUGAAUGAUAAAGUGAUAUUCCAGAAGGUUCAGUCCUAACAGAAGACUCCAUGUAUCAGACAACCUCCAUGAUAGUCAGUCCCCUGGUUUACAGUAGAGACAUAUUACAUCAACAGUCAUUUAGUGAUGUACUGUUAGUUCAGAACCCCACUAUCAGGUCCAGAUAAUGUUAUUAUAAUGUUAUUAUCUAUAUUAUGACAUGCUGAUUUUAAGGAAACUAACCAACAUAACUCACAUGAAACUAAAUAUUGCUCUUUUCAGUGUAACCAAAAUGACCCCAUAUGGUUUUUGUUAGUCCAAUAUAAAAUAUAUAUAUUUUUGAUAGUUGAAUAGUUACAGUAAUUUAAAUUGAUUAAAAGUCCAUCAUACAGAAGCUGAUAGAGUGAGAUAUAGAGGCCCCUCCCUCUGGUCCUCCCUGGCUUGGUGAUAGGUUAACUGUAGAUGCCCCUCCCUCUGCUCCUCCCUGUCUGUUUCCUUAUAGGUGGGUCCUGCAGCCUCUCCUCACACUCCAACCCUGCUCAUCUCUCAGCUGGACAGUAAGGGCCGUUCACACCACACGCUGACAACAUGCUGGGGACACUCUGCACUCUCAUCACUGCUCUAACAUAUGGAGAUCUGGCUACACCUGCUGUGACCCUGUUCCCUCCAUCCACUGAAGACCUCAAGUCCAGCAGAGCAACACUGGUGUGUCUGACUAGUAACCUGUCUCAGAAGUCCAAGGGGUUGGCAGAUGUCAGCUGGAUGUCUAAUGGUGAAUCAGUGACAGAAGAUGUUUCUACCAGCCCUGCUGAGCAGCAACCAGACAAAACCUUCCAGAUCAGCAGCUAUCUGACCAUUCAGACUGCAGACUGGGACAAGGACCUGGUGUUCACAUGUAAAGUGUCGUUGGGGUCAACAUUCUCUGAGAAAGAGAUCAGAAAGACUAGUUGUAGUCUGUAAAUCAAUAGUUUCAGACAAUCAAUACAACUGGUAGUUUGUUAUAGCUUCACAGCGAGUGAAGCUGUUAUUUUGUUAGAACUGUUAAGUGAUGUGUUGAUCCUUGCUUUGCUGUUAAAUAUAGACGUUAAAAUCCUAACAACAUGGAUGAUAUUGGGCUGAAGUCUGAAUGCAGCAGUGAAUAGUAUGACAAUAACCAAUGUAAUGUCAAAUAGUUGUUGAGGGUUGUUUCUCAUGACAAGUUACUAUUGAUGCAUUCACUGUACUGGCAUCAUGUUCUCUAAAACAUAACAUCUGAAACACUGUCAUGAUGACUAGGUCUCUCUACUAUUGAUGCAUUCACUGUACUGGCAUCAUGUUCUCUAAAACAUAACAUCUGAAACACUGUCAUGAUGACUAUACCUCUCUACUGUUGUGAAAUGAGUUGAAUUAUUAAUGUAUAAUAGAGGAGUAGUUGGAGCUUUGCUGUAUUGUGGAUAUUAAAUAAAGAACAUUCUAAAGAA